ensembl:lncRNA
CUCUGAUUGAGGUAAACAUCCGUGAAAUCCAUCAGAUGAGAUUUACUUCUGCCAAUGUGUUUAAGGCCGCUGGAAGCAAUGGCGUAGCAGUCUCUGGCAUGCAGCUCUGGGGAAGGAGGCCUGAGGAAAUCCCACAGAUAAUUCCACACUGGCCUAAGUAGCUUUCCCACCGGAUGUCUCCCUGUGGGGCUGCCAACACACUUCAGGCCUGGAGCUUAAACUGCAUCAACUAGUCUUGAAACAGUGUCCUUAACGUAGCUAGGCUGUACUGGGAGAAAGAGUGUAAUUUGGACUGAGCUGCAUCCACACCAGCGGAUGUCUUCUUAGCAAGGAAUGGGAGCGGCCUACCAAAGGCAGGCAGUGCACGAUGGUGGGAAGACGGUGUGUCUUCUGUCACAGCCUGUGCCUUCAGCUCUACUGGUGAUGUCCCAGCAGAGCUGUUUUCCCCAGUCCGGGUGGAAUGGUGGGAAGUGAUGCAACAGGAGCAGCGAGGAUCAAGAGCAGGCGACUGCUGCUGUGACUGCCAGGGGCUCAUUUGAAGGAGCACAGUUUCAGCCCGCUAAGGCCUCAGUCACCUUCACAACACCCUUGAAAGGUGCUCGCUUACGCCGGGCUGCUGCGUAUUCAUGCUGCGUAUGAAUGCUGCAUCAUUCAUAUUUAAGGAUAGCCACAGCCCUUCCUGGGUUUUAGGCUCAUGCCAUUUACUGGGGGCAAAAAUAAUCAUCUUUAUGCAAGUCCUUCUUACUAAAGCCCUGGCUGCCUUAGCAGUGAUGCAGAAUUCUUAGUCGAAAGGAUGCCGAAGAGACGGAGGGGUUCCAUGGGAGCAAACAAGCUGUAACACAGCUCACAACAACAACUGCUCACAACCAACAUGGGCGUGGAAUGGAACUUUUUGCUCAAGGCUGCUGCAGCCCACCUUUGUGCUCCCACGCAGUCAUCUCCUUUGUGCCCUCCUCAGGUAUGUCCUCUUACAUGAUAGCAUAAAGCGAGAUAUGGGACACUGUCUGUGCAAACAGGCUGAAGUCAAGAGUCCGAGAAGUAGAGGGCUGAGCAAUCACCAACUGUAUGAAAUACGGCAAGAGCAAGUGACUGCACCUAAGGCAGGAGAACCACGGAUAUAUGCACAGACUGGGGGACACGUGGACGGAGAAGAGCUCUGUGGAAAGGGAUCUGAGGGAUCUGGUUGGUGAUAAGUUGAAUAUGAUGAGCUCAGAGCUCCCUUUCCAGGUGAUCCUUUGGAUUCGGAUUCUGUGCGUGUGCCCGUGGGACAACCCAGAGGCCCUGCUGGUGAAUCAGCAGAAUGGAAUCCUGUCUAUGAGCCUGAGGGGGAUGCUGGAG